rnacentral:rRNA from 1 species
GUGUCAGCCGCCGCGGUAAUACGUAGGUCCCGAACGUUGCGCGAAUUUACUGGGCGUAAAGGGUCCGUAGGCGGUCUGGUAAGUGGAAGGUGAAAUCCUGGGGCUCAACUCCAGAAUUGCCUUCCAAACUGCCGGACUUGAGGCAGGGAGAGGUCGGCGGAAUUCCCGGUGUAGCGGUGAAAUGCGUAGAUAUCGGGAGGAAGGCCUGUGGCGAAGGCGGCCCUCUGGCGCUUAGCUGACGCUGAGGCGCGAAAGCGUGGGGAGCAAACAGGAUUAGAUACCCGGGUAGUCCUGGCCGUAAACGAUGGAUGCUAGAUGUGGGCGGGGAGACCCGUCCGUGUCGCAAGCUAACGCGUUAAGCAUCCCGCCUGGGGAGUACGGCCGCAAGGUUGAAACUCAAAUGAAUUGACGGGG